GAGGGUAUAGCUCAGUGGUAGAGUGUGUGCUUAGCAUGCAUGAGGUCCUGGGUUCGAUCUCCAGUACCUCCU
rnacentral:tRNA from 1 species